UACGUAGGGUGCGAGCGUUAAUCGGAAUUACUGGGCGUAAAGCGUGCGCAGGCGGUUUUGUAAGCCAGAUGUGAAAUCCCCGGGCUUAACCUGGGAAUGGCAUUUGGGACUGCAAGGCUCGAGUGCGGCAGAGGAGACGUGGAAUUCCUGGUGUAGCAGUGAAAUGCGUAGAUAUCAGGAGGAACACCGAUGGCGAAGGCAGGUCUCUGGGCUGACACUGACGCUCAUG
rnacentral:rRNA from 1 species